rnacentral:rRNA from 1 species
AAGCAGGGGAUCGCAAGACCUUGCGCUUUUGGAGCGGCCGAUGUCUGAUUAGCUAGUUGGUGAGGUAAAGGCUUACCAAGGCUUCGAUCAGUAGCUGGUCUGAGAGGACGACCAGCCACACUGGGACUGAGACACGGCCCAGACUCCUACGGGAGGCAGCAGUGGGGAAUUUUGGACAAUGGGGGCAACCCUGAUCCAGCCAUGCCGCGUGAGUGAAGAAGGCCUUCGGGUUGUAAAGCUCUUUCAGCCGGAACGAAAAGGUUACGGCUAAUACCCGUGACUAAU